AGCAUAGUAUAGAAUGUGAGCUGCAUCAUUGUCAUUCUCUGACUCUAUUGCUCUCUGCCACAAUAUUACUUAGUCUAUAGCUCUAUACCAUAAUAUUCUCUGACUCUAUAGCUCUAUACCAUAAUAAUCAAAGAAAGAAGCUUCCACAUUAGAAACAAAUAAGACUAGUAGAUUUUCCACAUUAGAAACAAAUAAGACUAGUAGAUUACAUACUAAGUAUAGUAUAUAUUGCUAGAAACAAAUAAGACUAGUAGAUUACAUAGACUAGUAGAUUACAUAUAAAUAUAGUAUAUAUUGCAGUUCUUCGAUUCCAACUAUAUCAUUUU
rnacentral:lncRNA from 1 species